AGAGAAUGAAACAAAAAAAAUUAUCAGCUACUACACAGGGCAAGGCAAAGCAUGUAUGUGAACCAUAAGAGGUGGUCUGCAGUUCUCUGAAGAGACAGUAACCAUUGUGCUGUAUCACAGGUGCAACUUCUGUUAAGGAUCAAUAAGCCAAUGACAAUUUGAUGUCCAAAGGAACAGCAAUACGAAACUAAAUGGUUUUGGUUGGAUUCGCAUCAAGUCCACAAAGUGACAAAUACUGACUGAAAAAUGCCUUUUAGGCAGUUACUAUAUGGCAAUACUUUUCUGAAACAAAUGGAACCAAGUCCAAGAGAAAGAAGCAAUGGUUACAGCACUACAGAAGAAAGAAGAAAAAGGCAGGAAGUGAAAAGGAUGAAAGCCUGCCUUUAGAAGUAUUUGGAAAGAUCUUGACGACAGAGUAAAAACAAAAGGGGUGAAAGAGUUAAGCUAUGCAACAAAAAAAGCACAAUAAUAUCCCCAAGUAAAUCUUUAAUUGCCCACUUCCCAGUGAUAUACUUUUGUAGUUUUCAUUAGAACAGAAGUACAUUCACUAAUUCCCAGAAAACUGAUUUAUUAGCUUAAAUCUAGAACUGAGUGAAAAAUAUUUUCCAAUUCUUAGUUCUACAAACUAAUAGCCACUUUUACCAAAAAUUUAAAUGUAACUUAAAAUAUUUGGCUUUCAAGUUACUGAAUUUUAAUUUUAUCAGCUACUAAAUUACAAUAGAUAGAAUGAGAUACAAAAAUAAAUUUUGAAGAGAUAAGUGAGUCUCUGCAGCACAUUUUCACACACAGAAGAAUUUCCUCACAGCUUUUUUUCAAAUACAAAAUGUUCUCAAAGCUAAUACUGGCAUAUUGGCAUAAAUACACUAUUUCCUGAAGUCA